GAACCUGCGGAGGGAUCAUUACUGAGUUAUCCAAAACUCCCAACCCUUUGUGAACUUACCACUGUUGCCUCGGCGAGUUGUGCUACCCUAUAGCUACCCUGUAGCUACCCGGGAACACAUUCCAAGCUCGCCAGAGGACCUACCAACUCUGUUUUAUACUGUAUCUCUGAACUUUAUAACUAAAUAAGUUAAAACUUUCAACAACGGAUCUCUUGGUUCUGGCAUCGAUGAAGAACGCAGCGAAAUGCGAUAAGUAAUGUGAAUUGCAGAAUUCAGUGAAUCAUCGAAUCUUUGAACGCACAUUGCGCCCAUUAGUAUUCUAGUGGGCAUGCCUAUUCGAGCGUCAUUUCAACCCUUAAGCCUCAGUUGCUUAGCGUUGGGACUCUACGACCUAUUAUAGCGUAGUUCCUUAAAGGUAGUGGCGGAGUUAUAGCACACUCUAAGGCGUAGUAAUUCUCUCUCGCUUCUUGUAGUGGUUAUAGUUGCUUGCCAUAAAACACCCCUUAUUUUAAUGGUUGACCUCGGAUUAGGUAGGAAUACCCGCUGAACUUAAGCAUAUCAAUAAGGCGGGAGG
rnacentral:rRNA from 1 species